rnacentral:lncRNA from 1 species
GAUGACAAUCACAACAACAACACGUGCAGAUCCUGCAGAUUAUUUUGGUCUUAAAAAUGUCGCUUUAACAGCACAUAUUUCAGCUCAACUGCAAACAAAACCGACACACAGUCCGAUAAAAUGCUGGAGUCACGCGACUCACCUAAUAAGUGCUGUGCUGUGGAUUGUAAAGCUGGACAGACAGUGACUGUAAUGAUGGACAUCUGCUUGUGGACAGGAGACGCACUCAUACCGCUUUGGUCUUGAUCAUUUUAAAGCACAGAAGAUUUGAACCAGCAUAUUCUACAGGAGGGCCACACUCACUUCUCAUGAGCCUCAUGGGAUCUCUGUAACGAGCAAACAGCCCUCAGAGUCUCAGGAACUCCAGACUGAAGCUCUUCUCAUCAGCCCUGAAGCUCGUUUAUUCAAGAUCAAUCAUAGUAACUUUUUCAUUUUGAACAGAUUUAUGAUUUAUUCAUUCAAGAGUUAUUUAAAAGAGACACACCAGAAC